ACGCACAUUGCGCCUGUUGGUACUCCGUCAGGCACGUCUGUUUGAGCGUUGUUAAAAUCUCAGCGAAAGCUGGUUGUAGAGGAGGCAGCACGCCCCUCUGAAAUAUCUCGGCAUUGUGCAACGGCGAAACGUGAAUCAAUUGCUGCAAUACCAAUUCUAUCUCUCAACCUCAAAUCAGAGAGAAUACCCGCUGAACUUAA
rnacentral:misc_RNA from 1 species